rnacentral:piRNA from 1 species
UGCUAUCAUUUGCCAAUCUGACGGGUC